CUCUGGAUAGAUAAGAGACGAGAAGCGGCUGAAAGAAGGUAUCAUGGAGGUAUUAUCUCUGAAUGAAGGCGCUGAGGAAAGAGUCUACAUCCCAUGGGACGUCACUGGAUGUAACAGGUAUGGUGCUGUAUUCUGCUGUAUAUAAUAAUGUCCAUCCACAUAUCUGUUUCACGAUAGGGUUGU